AACGAACGCUGGCGGCAUGCCUAACACAUGCAAGUCGAACGAGACCUUCGGGUCUAGUGGCGCACGGGUGCGUAACGCGUGGGAACCUGCCCUUAGGUUCGGAAUAACUCCCCGAAAGGGGUGCUAAUACCGGAUAAUGUCUUCGGACCAAAGAUUUAUCGCCUUUGGAUGGGCCCGCGUUGGAUUAGCUAGUUGGUAGGGUAAAAGCCUACCAAGGCGACGAUCCAUAGCUGGUCUGAGAGGAUGAUCAGCCACACUGGGACUGAGACACGGCCCAGACUCCGACGGGAGGCAGCAGUGGGGAAUAUUGGACAAUGGGCGAAAGCCUGAUCCAGCAAUGCCGGGUGAGUGAUGAAGGCCUUAGGGUUGUAAAGCUCUUUUACCCGGGAUGAUAAUGACAGUACCGGGAGAAUAAGCUCCGGCUAACUCCGUG
rnacentral:rRNA from 1 species